ensembl:snRNA U6 U6 spliceosomal RNA
GUGCUAGCUUCUGCAGCACAUAUACUAAAAUUGGAAUGACACAUAGAAGAUUAGCAUGGCCCCUGUGCAAGGAUGACAUGCAAAUUCAUGAAGUGUUCCAUAUUUUU